rnacentral:rRNA from 1 species
GCUACGGGAGGCAGCAGUGGGGAAUAUUGGGCAAUGGGCGCAAGCCUGACCCAGCAACGCCGCGUGAAGGAAGAAGGCUUUCGGGUUGUAGACUUCUUUUAAGAGGGAAGAGCAGAAGACGGUACCUCUUGAAUAAGCCACGGCUAACUACGUGCCAGCAGCCGCGGUAAUACGUAGGUGGCAAGCGUUGUCCGGAUUUACUGGGUGUAAAGGGCGUGUAGCCGGGCUGACAAGUCAGAUGUGAAAACCCGUGGCUCAACCAAGGAACUGAAGUUGAAAUUGUCGGUAUUGAGGAUCGGAGAGGCAGGCGGAAUUCCUAGUGUAGCGGUGAAAUGCGGAGAUAUUAGGAGGAACACCAGUGGCGAAGGCGGCCUGCUGGACGACAACUGACGGUGAGGCGCGAAAGCGUGGGGAGCAAACAGGAUUAGAUACCCUUGUAGUC